rnacentral:ncRNA from 2 species
GUCUUAUCAAGAGAGGUUGAGGGACAUGGCCCUGCGACACCUCAGCAACCAUCAGAUGGCUUGUCUUCUGAAAAGGUGCUAAUUCCAGCAAGUUAGCUGCUAACUUGGUAGAUAAGAA